AUUGAACGCUGGCGGCAUGCCUUACACAUGCAAGUCGAACGGUAACGGGCCUACGGGUGCCGACGAGUGGCGCACGGGUGCGUAAUACAUCGGAACGUGCCCGAUCGUGGGGGAUAACGAGGCGAAAGCUUUGCUAAUACCGCAUACGAUCUACGGAUGAAAGCAGGGGACCGCAAGGCCUUGCGCGGACGGAGCGGCCGAUGGCAGAUUAGGUAGUUGGUGGGAUAAAAGCUUACCAAGCCGACGAUCUGUAGCUGGUCUGAGAGGAUGAUCAGCCACACUGGGACUGAGACACGGCCCAGACUCCUACGGGAGGCAGCAGUGGGGAAUUUUGGACAAUGGGCGCAAGCCUGAUCCAGCCAUGCCGCGUGCAGGAUGAAGGCCUUCGGGUUGUAAACUGCUUUUGUACGGAACGAAAAGCCUUCUUUUAAUACAGGAGGGUCAUGACGGUACCGUAAGAAUAAGCACCGGCUAACUACGUG
rnacentral:rRNA from 1 species